GACGUAGGGGGCAAGCGUUGUCCGGAAUCAUUGGGCGUAAAGCGCUCGUAGGUGGAUCGGUAAGUCUGCAAAGAAAGACCCCGGGCUCAACUCGGGGAACGGUGUGGAUACUACCGAUCUUGAGGCAAUCAGAGGAUGAUGGAAUUCCCGGUGUAGCGGUGAAAUGCGUAGAUAUCAGGAGGAACACCAAUGGCAAGGCAGCUCGCUGGGACGGUACUGACGCUGAGACGCGAAAGCGUGGGGGAGCAAACAGG
rnacentral:rRNA from 1 species